CACCACAUGCAAUCAGAAUCGGU
rnacentral:siRNA from 1 species